GAUGAACGCUGGCGGCGUGCCUAAUACAUGCAAGUCGAGCGAACUGAUUAGAAGCUUGCUUCUAUGACGUUAGCGGCGGACGGGUGAGUAACACGUGGGCAACCUGCCUGUAAGACUGGGAUAACUUCGGGAAGCCGAAGCUAAUACCGGAUAGGAUCUUCUCCUUCAUGGGAGAUGAUUGAAAGNUGGUUUCGGCUAUCACUUACAGAUGGGCCCGNGGNGACAUUAGCUAGUUGGUGAGGUAACGGCUCACCAAGGCAACGAUGCAUAGCCGACCUGAGAGGGUGAUCGGCCACACUGGGACU
rnacentral:rRNA from 1 species